GCCAUACCGCGUGGGUGAAGAAGGCCUUCGGGUUGUAAAGCCCUUUUGUUGGGAAAGAAAAGCAAUCGAUUAAUACUCGGUUGUUCUGACGGUACCCAAAGAAUAAGCACCGGCUAACUUCGUGCCAGCAGCCGCGGUAAUACGAAGGGUGCAAGCGUUACUCGGAAUUACUGGGCGUAAAGCGUGCGUAGGUGGUUGUUUAAGUCUGUUGUGAAAGCCCUGGGCUCAACCUGGGAAUUGCAGUGGAUACUGGGCAACUAGAGUGUGGUAAAGGGUAGUGGAAUUCCCGGUGUAACAACGAAAUGCGUAAAGGUCGGGAGGAACAUCCAUGGCGAAGGCAACUACCUGGACCAACACUGACACUGAGGAACAAAAGCGUGGGGAGCAAACACGAUUAAAUACCCUGGUAGUCCACGCCCUAAACGAUGCGAACUGGAUGUUGGGUGCAAUUUGGCACGCACUAUCGAAGCUAACGCGUUAAGUUCGCCGCCUGGGGAGUACGGACGCAAGACUGAAACUCAGAGGAAUUGACGGGGGCCCGCACAAGCGGUGGAGUAAGUGGUUUAAUUCUAUGCCACGCGCAGAACCUUACCUGGACAUGACAUGUCGAGAACUUUCCAG
rnacentral:rRNA from 1 species